rnacentral:tRNA from 1 species
GCCCCUGUAGCUCAGUUGGAUAGAGCACUGGCCUCCGAAGCCAUUUGCGGGCGUUCGAGUCGCCCCAGGGGCACCA